GUCCACGCCCUAAACGAUGUCGACUGGUUGUUGGUGGGGUUAAACCCAUUAGUAACGAAGCUAACGCGUGAAGUCGACCGCCUGGGGAGUACGGCCGCAAGGUUAAAACUCAAAGGAAUUGACGGGGACCCGCACAAGCGGUGGAUGAUGUGGAUUAAUUCGAUGCAACGCGAAGAACCUUACCUACCCUUGACAUGUACGGAAGCUUGCUGAGAGGCGAGUGUGCCCGAAAGGGAGCCGUAACACAGGUGCUGCAUGGCUGUCGU
rnacentral:rRNA from 1 species